rnacentral:misc_RNA from 1 species
ACACACACACACACACACACAGAGUGUCUUCUGCUAUUCUAUUACAAGAUCCCAUUACAGUUACGAAAUAAAAAAGCUAUACCUAUUAUGUGUGCAAAGUUCUUCAGCUUUUGGGCCUUGGGGAACAGUCAAGUGAAGAAAUUCAGAUAUGAUUUCAUAAGCUUCACGUUGCACAGAAAAUAAUGGCCAUUCAUGGUGGAAUGUAAGAAAGAAUUUACAUAGCACAUGUGAGGCAUAUGCAUCCAUUAAGUGCUAAGAGAAUGGAUGUGUAGUCAUUGAUGAUUAUAUAACCAUGUGCCAUGAUCUGAGCCUAGUGCACUCAUGUGAAUAUGCA